rnacentral:RNase_P_RNA from 1 species
AUAGCAAGUCGGUCUAUCGCAACCGAAAGGAAGAAAGCCGUGAUUUCAGUCAAGGGGCUUAAUCCCGUCGGUUGAGGAAAGUCCGGGCAGCACAGAGCACCACAGCGGUUAACGGCCGUCAGGCAGCAAUGUUUGGUCACUGCUACAGAGACGAGAGAUGUGAAACGAGUAUACUGUGGGCUGCAAUUCCAUGUAAACCGGCGUCUGAGCGUUGCUCGCGCAAGCCGGAGGGUAGGAAGCGAUGAAGGGCGUGGCAACACGUUGCUCAAGAUUAAUGAUAGACGCCCGAAAGGGUACAGAACCCGGCUUAUAGACUUGCUGUUUUU